rnacentral:rRNA from 1 species
CAGUCGCCGCGGUAAUACGGAGGGAGCUAGCGUUGUUCGGAAUUACUGGGCGUAAAGCGCGCGUAGGCGGUUACUCAAGUCAGAGGUGAAAGCCCGGGGCUCAACCCCGGAACUGCCUUUGAAACUAGGUGACUAGAAUCUUGGAGAGGUCAGUGGAAUUCCGAGUGUAGAGGUGAAAUUCGUAGAUAUUCGGAAGAACACCAGUGGCGAAGGCGACUGACUGGACUAGUAUUGACGCUGAGGUGCGAAAGCGUGGGGAGCGAACAGGAUUAGAUACCCCAGUAGUCCCUGUCUCUUAUAC